UGGGCGCUUUUUGUUUUGUGUAAGGUGUUCUCAUUCUUCCCUUCAGAGACCACUCCAGUUCAAAUCCUCCCUUAGACCUCACUUCUCCUUGCGCCUCCCUCACUCUCAGUCAGUCACCACCACUCACCACUCUACUCUGGCAACCCCACAGCCGCAGCCUCGCAGCCUUUGGAGCCCAACUGUAGUCUGCAGCACCCACUGCAAUCUGCAGAACACCUCAAUGGCUCAACCCUUUCGCCCUCGAGCACUCGGUCGCUUCACCGUCGACAGCCGUCACAGCCCAGAGUGAUUCUAAGUGUUGGAGACCAAACAAGAAGAAAAAAAAUGACAAGAGAUUAUUCAGAUGUCACAGUUGAUCACUUGUCGUCGGAGUGUGACCAGUGCACCUCCCGCAUUUUCAGCACCUAUCGCUUCAGCCGCGAGUGCUCCAUUGAUUGGGGAGCCUACACCCCUUACUGAGGCUACUCCUAAGGCGUCCCAGGUGCUCGCAUCAUUGACGUCAUCAGUGUUGGUUCAGCAGCUCAGUGUGGCCCAGGAAGUUGCUCGGGAAGCCUAGAUUGCAACACAGUUUUCGGCCCAAGACGAGAAGAUGAGCAUGAUCUUACGAGCCUUACAGAUGUCUAGCCUCCAAAUCUUGAUGCCAGCACCUGAUCUUGCUUCACCUUCGAUCUCCCAGCCAUUUCGCCCAGCCUAUACCUAGUUUCUGUUGUAUCAAACCUAGAAUACUACUUGUUGUAGUUUUUUCUUUUUUGUUCGGACAUCUUCUAUUUACAUUUUCAUAUAUUUUAUAAUUAAAUACCUUUUCUU